AAAUUACAACGAGGGUUAGGGAGUAUAAUCGUGAGGUCAAUGCGUUAAACGAAGAAGCGUUCGCAGCGAUCGUGUCCCGAUUCUCUGUUUCUCAUUUUUUCUGAUUUUCUUUGCGUGUGGUUUCCGUCUCUCUCUCUCUCCUGUUCUUUCUGGUAAGAUCUUCAAAUACCUCUGAUUUAUCUGAGGUCAGGUCAGAUCCGCCAAAAGAAGCACAGAAUUUUCAAGUUCUAGGGUUUUUGAUUGUCGUCAUCUAUUUUCUGUUUGAUCGUUUGUUUUUUACUCUGAUUAAUUGCCAUAUCUGAAAAUCUACGGUGUGGUCUUUGUUUUGCUCGUUUGAUAUUGCUAUUGUUUGUUUUUGUGUGUUUGAUUGGGGGAUUUGUUUGGUUUAAAAUUUGAGUCUUGAAAUUUUUUUUUAUUGAGAAGUGUUGUUUGGUUCUUGAUUGGUAUGGCGGCAGGGCGAGUUGAUGUUCCAAGGAGAAGUGAUGUUGGGAAAUUGAAUCGGGUUUAUGGUCAUGUUCAUGCUAUUCCCGAUAAGAAUGGAUACGAUAACCCAUCUAAUGGGAGGAAUUUGGUUGCUUGGCAUAAGAAUGGGUUCAACUUGGCUCCUAGGCGAUGGGGGUUAGAGGAUGUUGUGAGAGUUAAGAAUGAUGUAACACGGAUAUUGGAUGAUGGGGCUCAGCAGCCGCCACAGAAAAAGAGGAAGUUUUCCCCUAUUGUUUGGGACCUAGAAGAGAAGGAAGUAAGAAUUUCGUCUAGGAACAGAGUUGUAUCGGCAGCUACCACUCUGUCAUCUCAUCCUUCACCUUGCAAGUUGUCAAAUAUUGUUUCCAAUCAGGCUGUUAAGAAGCAACCAGUCAAUGGAAAUCUGAUUGAGGAGGUGGAGCAUUUGCCACCUAAGUCUCCACUGGCUGAUUUUGGUUGUGUUUUAUAUCCUUCACAGCCCUGUCAGCAAUUUCAGGAUAAUGAACAAGGACAAGAUUUGAUGGGAAAAGAAAAUUGUCAAGCGCCUAACAUAUUCACGUCACGCUGGGCAUCUGAUAGUGAUGAUGAAGAUGGGUCUCAAAGCGAAGAAAAGAUUAGGAGUUCGAGUCUUGAGAGUGGGGAGUUUGAAAGAGAUGAAUUUGAAGGAGACCGGGUAUUGUCUAACCAAAGAAGCUGUAGUGUACUGUCUGCAUGCCAGGACGAAGAUAUGGAGUGUAAGUUGGACUCUAAUGGUGUGAUGGACAUUGAUGAUAUGCGUGAUGAAGAUGCUGUUAUGGAGCAGUCAGAUUUAGAUGUUGAAGAGCCAGCAGGAAGAAGUGUGAACAUGCUUCUGGGUUGCAGAAGUGUUUUUGAAUAUGAAAGAUUGAACAAAAUAAGUGAAGGUACUUAUGGUAUUGUUUAUAGAGCUAAAGAUAAGAUGGGAGAAAUUGUGGCCCUGAAGAAGGUAAAGAUUCUUGACCGAAGAGAUUUAGAAGAAUAUGGUUUCCCUUUAACAUCAUUGAGGGAAAUUAACAUUCUUGCAUCUUUUCACCACCCUUCAAUUGUGAAAGUUAAAGAAGUUGUUGUAGAUGACCAUGACAAUGUUUACAUGGUUAUGGAGUACAUGGAACAUGACUUCAAGGGGCUAAUGGAUUCUAUGAAACGGCCAUUUAGUACAAGUGAUGUUAAAUGCUUGAUGCAACAGCUAUUGGAGGGCGUCAAAUAUCUUCAUGAUAAUUGGGUGCUCCAUAGGGAUUUGAAAACAUCCAAUCUUCUCUUGAAUAACCAAGGUGAACUCAAAAUAUGUGACUUUGGUAUGGCACGCCAGUAUGGAAGCCCCCUAAAGCCAUAUACAACCAAGGUGGUUACUCAAUGGUAUAGAGCACCUGAACUUUUACUUGGAGCAAAGAAGUAUUCAACAGCAGUUGACAUGUGGUCUGUGGGCUGUAUAAUGGCUGAGUUGUUAGCUAAGGAACCCUUGUUCAAAGGGACUAGCGAAAUUGAUCAGCUUCGCAAGAUCUUUGAUACUCUUGGUAAUCCAAGCGAGAAGAUCUGGGCUGGGUUUUCUGAAUUACCAGGGGCCAAGGCAAAUUAUUCUAAGCAACCGUAUAAUUUGUUGCGUAGAAAGUUUCCUGCAGCAUCUUUCAUAGGAUCUCCAGUUCUUUCUGAUACUGGAUUUGACCUGUUAAACAGGCUUCUUACUUAUGAUCCUGAGAAGCUAUCAAAGUUUCUGUUAUCUGUGCAGAGAAUAACAGCAGAUGAUGCUCUUAAUCAUGAUUGGUUCCGUGAGCUUCCUCUACCAAAAUCUAAGGAAUUCUUGCCUACUUUCCCCCCAAAAAUGUGAAUGGAACAGGCAUAUACAAGGAACCAUGAAGAAUCUCAAUCCAAUGCAGUAGUGGUAAAAAAAUUUUCCAUCCAUUGCUAGUGCCGUGGGACAGGCAGACUGGUGCAUACAGGCAAUUGUAUCUUAGACAGAUGAUUGACCAGAGGUGAGGUGCAACAGUUAAAUGUUUGGGUGGCAAAAUAUUGUGAGAAACUGAUAUCAUCCUUUGGCAGGCACAUACAUGACAUGCUUGUAGAGAUUAAUAUUUUGAGGUGGUUGAGUUACAGCCUUGCACAAUCCAGUUAUUAGUUUGGAUGAUUUUGCGUUGAAUUGUAAUGGUCCUUAGCUGCGAUUGAAUAUGAAGGUUCAGCUUAUCGACAAUGGUUCAUCUCCUUGAUAUUGUAUCAGAUUGUAACUCAUGAAAAAUUCUUUACAACAUUUAAAUUUUCUUUUUUUAUUCCAAAACUGGUGCUUACAUUGUUUCCUUCAAUUUUUUCACACUGCUUGCAAGAGUCUACUGAUGUUUUGAAGCGAACAGCAUUGGUCUUUCCUGCUUAUGAGCACAGUUGGGAGGUUUGCAGCCUGCACGUGUAUACAUAAUCACUUUGUGUGCGAGUAAGAUGCUAUAUGCAUUGUUCAUAUUAUCUUUUCCUUUGGUGAUAUCUUCCCUAACAAUGACAAAUUGUUAAUAUAUAUAUAAAUUAUGACUAAGAAUUGAUGUUAUCUGGCAAGGGGAUGGUGAUAUUGAUGAUGCAGAGGAGGUUCUGAUUAACAUGCAGGUGUUACUGCUGGGGAAAAUAUAACAGAACCAUGAGUAUAGGAGGCUUGUUCUCUUUCUUUUCUUUUUCCCUAGUUAUUUCUUUUAUGUUUACAUUGUUGUGAUUGAAUUCUUACUAUUUUUACUCUCUCGAGUGUCUGCAAGAUACCUUUCUGGAAAAAAAUAUUGGUUACAAGAAGAUUUCAUUUUUCCAAAUUUGGAAUAUGUUCAUACUGAACUUGGGAGAUGGUUCUAGCGGUUGCUGCUAAAGCAUACCCCUCAUGGCCUGUGUAUAAAUGUAGAUUCUAGUACUAUAUUUAUUGUUGUAAUGCAUGGUUGAAAUGCUCAUCUUUGCCUCUUCUAGUUUCGGUAAUAGUUGUCAGAAUCCUACAAGUUUGAAUCUAUUGAUGGAAAAUUAUUAUUCUCUUAAUUUGAAUAUUAUGAUUCUUGGAUUUGUUCAUAUCAUAUAUGAAGCUUAGGAUUUUAACAAUUUUAACUUAAAAUUACAUUCAACUAAUCCAAUUAGAUAUGGUGAACUGUUUCUAUUAUGACAACUAUUCUUUAGUUUUGGGUUUGUAUAUUGAUUAUAGAAGAAUAGGAUAAUUACCAAGAGUGUUUUAGCAUCCAGUUAUCGUAUGAGUUAAGUUGCUUGAAAAUUUUGUUAGAUCUGCAUAUGUUUGUCAUCAUUCUAUCUACCCCUCUAAACUGUAUGUGCCAAGCAUUUUCCAUGUUGGUGCUGAACCUUUAUUUGUUUUGUAAAGAGUGCUGAACUAAUUUUUUCAUGUAGGAGUUAUUGAAAAAAAGAAGAGGCUUUAAAAAUUGCAAGGAAAAAAUGGGUGGUGCUCAUAAAAGGCUUACCAUCUUUAUGACCAGUAAAAAAAAAAAAAAAUGAUGGCCAUAAAAUUUGAAACUCUCUCUUGGUUUUGGAAGUUAUUUUUCUCAAAAGAGAAGAACCAGUGAAAGCUCGAUGAAAAGAUGGUGGUAUGAUGAUUUGUGUCUUUAAACUGUUGCUUUUCCUGGGAUGAACUGCAAAUACAUAACUUAACAGUAAGGUAGCUUUAGUGAAUCGUUUAUCAAAACCAGAAUAAUAAAAAAUAAAAGGGGAAUAUUGGAUGGUCUGGGUUGGCUGUCGUGGCUGUCGUCAUGGAUGUCUUCUUAUUCUGAAAGGGGAAAAUACUGAAUGGUCUGGGUUGUUGUAGUUGUUGUUGCAGUUUCUUGUGCUAUGGCUCACUGUUGCUAUGGAGAGAAAAGGCAUACUUGAUUUGAAGUGGAUUCAACACUUGUGCAGCACAUGCAAUAUUAAAGUCUAGAAGCAUUUGUGUAUAUAUUCUUGGUAGAGGAGCUAUUAAUAUCCAUGAUUUUUUCC